rnacentral:rRNA from 1 species
GUGGGGAAUAUUGGACAAUGGGCGAAAGCCUGAUCCAGCCAUGCCGCGUGUGUGAAGAAGGUCUUCGGAUUGUAAAGCACUUUAAGUUGGGAGGAAGGGCAGUAAGUUAAUACCUUGCUGUUUUGACGUUACCGACAGAAUAAGCACCGGCUAACUUCGUGCCAGCAGCCGCGGUAAUACGAAGGGUGCAAGCGUUAAUCGGAAUUACUGGGCGUAAAGCGCGCGUAGGUGGUUUUGUAAGUAGGAGGUGAAAUCCCCGGGCUCAACCUGGGAACUGCCUACAAAACUGCAUGACUAGAGUACGGUAGAGGGUAGUGGGAUUUCCUGUGUAGCGGUGAAAUGCGUAGAUAUAGGAAGGAACACCAGUGGCGAAGGCGACUACCUGGACUGAUACUGACACUGAGGUGCGAAAGCGUGGGGAGCAAACAGGAUUAGAAACCCGUGUAGUCC